rnacentral:rRNA from 1 species
CCAAAGCUGGCGACCGGCGCACGGGUGAGUGACACGUAUCCAACCUGCCUCAUACUCGGGGAUAGCCUUUCGAAAGAAAGAUUAAUAUCCGAUAGCAUAUAUUUCCCGCAUGGGUUUUAUAUUAAAGAAAUUCGGUAUGAGAUGGGAUGCGUUCCAUUAGUUUGUUGGGGGGUAACGGCCCACCAAGACUACGAUGGAUAGGGGUUCUGAGAGGAAGGUCCCCCACAUUGGAACUGAGACACGGUCCAA